rnacentral:rRNA from 1 species
GAUGAACGCUGGCGGCGUGCCUAAUACAUGCAAGUCGAGCGAACGGACGAGAAGCUUGCUUCUCUGAUGUUAGCGGCGGACGGGUGAGUAGCACGUGGAUAACCUACCUAUAAGACUGGGAUAACUUCGGGAAACCGGAGCUAAUACCGGAUGAUAUUUUGAACCGCAUGGUUCAAAAGUGAAAGACGGUCUUGCUGUCACUUAUAGAUGGAUCCGCGCUGCAUUAGCUAGUUGGUAAGGUAACGGCUUACCAGGGCAACGAUGCAUAGCCGACCUGAGAGGGUGAUCGGCCACACUGGAACUGAGACACGGUCCAGACUCCUACGGGAGGCAGCAGUAGGGAAUCUUCCGCAAUGGGCGAAAGCCUGACGGAGCAACGCCGCGUGAGUGAUGAAGGUCUUCGGAUCGUAAAACUCUGUUAUUAGGGAAGAACAUAUGUGUAAGUAACUGUGCACAUCUUGACGGUACCUAAUCAGAAAGCCACGGCUAACUACGUG